rnacentral:rRNA from 1 species
GAUCAGCUUCCGCGUGUGUGAUUCGUCUUAGGGUUGUAAAGCACUGCAGCAGUGAAGAUAAUGACAUUAACUGCAGAAGAAGCCCCGGCUAAUUUCGUGCCAGCAGCCGGGCUAAUACGAAGGGGGUUAGCGUUGUUCGGAAUCUCUGGGCGUAAAGUGGACGUGGACGGUCUGAUCAGUCAGGGGUUUUAUCGCGGGGCUCAAUCUCGGAACUGCCUUUGAUACUGUCAGUCUUGAGAUCGAGAGAGGUGAGUCGAACUCCGAGUGUAGAGGUGAAAUUCGUAGAUAUUCGGAAGAACACCAGUUGCGAAGGGGUUCACUGGUUCGAUACUGACGCUGAGGUACGAAAGCGUGGGGAGCAAACAGGAUUAGAUACCCUGGUAGUCCAAGCCGUAAACUAUUUUUUGCUAGUUGUCAGGUAGCUUGCUAUUUGGUGACGCAGCUUACGCAUUAAGCAUUCCGCCUGGGGAGUACGGUCGCAAGAUUAAAACUCAGAGGAAUUGACGGGGGCCCGCUCAAGCACUGGAGCAUGUGGUUUAAUUCGAAGCAACGCGGAACUCCUUACUAGCCCUUGACAUUUGGCGCUACAUCGGGAGACCGAUGGUUCCCUUCGGGGACGUCAGGACAGGUGCUGCAUGGAUGUCGUCAGCUCGUGUCGUGAGAUGUUGUGUUAAGCCCGCAACGAGCGCAACCCUCGCCCUUAGUUGCCAGUUAUAGUUGUGCUCUCUAGGGGGACUGCCGUUGAUUUGAGGGUGCAAGCUGGGGAUGACGUCAAGUCCUCAUGGACCUUAAGGGAUGGGCUACACACGUGCUACAAUGGCGGUGACAGUGGGCAGCUACCUCGCGAGAGAAACUAAUCUCCCAAAGCGGUCUCAGUCCGAUUGUUCUCUGCUACUCGAGAGCUUGAUGUUGGAAUCGCUAGUACUCGCGUAACAGCAUGCAGCUGUUGAAUACGUGCCCGUGGCCUUGUACACCGCGCCGGUCACCACCAUUGGCGCUCGGUUUACACCGAAUGUAGCUAGUGCUAAAC